UCGGAGAGCGCGUCAACAAUUUCUGAGGCUACAGUUGAUGUUGACGACAGCAGGAAGUUAUUUAAAACGAAGUGACGGCACGUAGCUCGGGCAGG
rnacentral:lncRNA from 1 species